AAAAUCCACCUCUCUCACGCGUCAUGUGUGCUAGGGUUUCCUAGGGGCCCGUGAAUGUUGCUCACCGCGGAGCAGGCAACUCAGUCCCUGGUGGCGCAGUUGCGGCGGCGGCGUCGAGAUCUGACUGUGAUGAAAGCCAUGAGCGGUGGUUGGAGCACUGCGGCGCUAGCGAAGGCCGACCUGCCGCUGGAGCAGGUGAUGCGUGGGUGGGUGCUGACCUUCGGUGACCUGCGGCCGGAGCGAGGUGAUGUGAGGCACGGCGGCAAGCGCACAGCUCGAAGCAGCCGGAUCCGAGCGGUCGGCGUCUGAUCCGUCCAACGUUGGUGAAGCCUUCCACUCCACACGUCCAUAUAUGUGCUAUGACAGGUUGGGUAAGUUCACCACAACAGUUGAAUCAGGACAACGAGAAGAUCAUCAGGCCUGCUGAGCAUGCUGGAGGGAGACACAUUUGAAACUGGUGCUAGUCUGCUAACUUCUUAACCUAAUUGACAGGUUGUUGCAGCAGAAGUUCCAAAUAGGGUGCAAGAGGGUGGUUUAUUCAAAGGAUCAGGUGAAGGGUGAGGUCCUGCACUUGUGCUGUUUUUUAAUUUUAUUUUGCUUCAUGUGGUGAUUUUGCUCAAUCCCUGCACAAAUUCAUUGCCAGCACAUGCCUUGAUUGUUUUCUGAUGGUUUAGAUGUAGUGGGAAGUGAAAAUCAGAGUCCUAGGGAGGUGGGGCUCAUGAAAGUGUGGCCAAUAUAGAGAUUUUAGGUCUCCCCCAAAUCUUUAGGUAUUUCUAGAGGCUGCUAGUACUUAAUUGCUAUGGUUGUCAUCUCUUAGCUUGGUGAUAUGUCUACUGCACCUCUAAAAACUGUUGACACCAGCUUUAUCUUUUGUAUUGUCUGGGACUUUUAUUAUGUCCUUAACUCCUUAUGUUCUCUUGGUAAUGUAUGAUUCAGCCAUGGAAACUUUUGCUAAAUCAUCAAGUAAUUUAUUAAUUUUGAAUUUAGCAUUUUUGCAUUAUGAUUCAUAAACAUUUUAAUUAGAUUGGUUAUGUCUUCAGACUUGUAUAGGCAUUUUAAUGUUGGUUCUCAAUAAAACUUUCUACGAAGGCAAUAAUAUUGAUUCCCAAUAAGCAAUUUUAUUGUUGUAUCUAUGCAUAAUAAUACAUUUCUUUAAGCAAUUUUGUUGCCUUCAGAAAAUAGAUAACAUACAACUGCCAGCAAUGCUCAUACAAGUUCAGCCUACUAAUUUGUGAAUGUUUUUUGGACCUCUAUUACUUACAUAGUUGCAUGUUCUCUUUGAUUUUUUUUAGAAUUACAAUGCAGGCCACCAGAUUUUGAACAUGGAUGCAGAUUGAAAGACAUUUUGAGUAAUUAGAAGUAAAUACAUUUGGCACUUUAGAGUACAUAUUGAGUGCAUUUUAUGAUUUCUGGUUCACAUAGUUCCGUAGUGAAAGUAGUAGACAAAUAAAUAAGUAACUAUGUAGGUCUGAAAAUUGUGUUCUAAAAUAUAUGAUGAUGCAUGACAUUUCUGCGUUCUUUUUUCUUCAUGGGGUUGUUGCUGUGUGUUCUGAAGUGCUUGUAGAUUAGGAUGAGAUGAUGCAGUUGCAGACACCACACUGAUUUAGGACCUGAUGAGGUAACUACAGGUGCAGGGAGUAAAAUUGUGUAGCUUCAACAAAAAGGACUGGGUGGGGGUGAGGCUUGACCAGCAGCGUGCAUGUGAAGAAUUUGGCCAAACAACUUUGUACAUCUAGCAAUUCUACUAGGGGCAGUUAAAUAAGUAAAGGUGGUUUAGAUUGUGUUCUUUCGGCAGCGAGGCCGGUGGGAGGAGGAAGCCUAAAAUCGAGCAAUUUUUUUGGAUUUGUACAUUUACUAAAUUGCUUCAGAGUUUAUUACGAUAUGCUUUCGACUUUCAAUAAAAGUGA